CAGUCACUUACUGUCCCGGGGGACACAGUGGUGCGGUGGGGCAGCGGGUUUCGCCGGGUCCUGAUCUUCGGUGGGUCUGGGGUUCGAGUUCCGCUUGGGGUGCCUUGUGACGGACCGAAGUCCCGUCCUGGGUGCGUCCCCUUGUGCCCUGUGUUGCCAGGUUAGGCUCUGGCUCCCUGUGACCCCAAAUGGGACAAGCGGUUCAGACAGUGUGUGUGUGUGUGUGUGUGUGUGUGUGUGUGACCAGUGCUCUGCUGAUGCAGAAGGGGGGCUGAAAGUCAUUUCCAGGGCCCUACCGGUUCUUGGCCGUUUAACCCUUUCGCUCCCAUCGCUAGAGCACAAACACGCGGCUCUCCGAAUCUCCCGUCUUCUCGCUCCUCUUCGCGCUGGACGCAGCCCAGAAGCGUCGGUGGCGAGAAAUGUGGGAAUGAGAGGUGUCAGGCAGAAAGAGGAAGGAGCUCGGAGGUGUUUUUUUCUCACGAUGUUAGCACUAGUAGCGGCGAGUGGUGGAGGAGGGGGCCUCGCACCCUGGACACGGCACCGCCGCCACCGCCUUCCUGCGCUCUCCUUUGAACAAAUAUACAAAGAGCACCGGGGAAACACAAAAUAAACACCGUGCGACCUUUAACGGUGUUUCUUUUCUCUAAUUUGAAGUAGAACACAUAUAUUUCUGGUGCUGCUGUGGAAAUUGUAAUGUAAAUAUUUCCAUUUUUUUUGUCCAUACAGGGUUUAGAGAAUCAUUUCGGCAUUUUGUUCAUAAUCGCCAAGUUCCUACCCAAGAAGCCCGAUCCCAGCUCAGCCUCUGACCCCAAAGCAGGGGUUCUUCACCCGAGGUCUCUGGAAAGAUCCGAGGGCUCCGGGAUCUUGGAUGGGAGAAAAUAGACAGAAGGGGAAGCAUGGAAGGGGAAGGUUCCAGAACGGACUAGAAUUCCCCAGACACGUGGGACGAGCACCUGCUGAGCGGCAGCGGGUGAAGGACAGCCGGCGAAAGAGGAACGGUUCGAAGGCUCCGAACAGAGGGAAGUACGGCGCGACUCCGGCUGUGAGUCACUGCAGCGUGGACCUCUGUGCCGAGACGUCUGGGAAACGGUUAAACCGGCGUGUCUGCGCGUGCGGACCUACCCGUCACGUUGCCGCCAAGAUGUGCGGCUGACGGGGGGCCUAGACGUUGGGUAUUUUUCAUUAUUCGGGUUUUCGCGGUGUUGCCUGGAAAAAACACGAGGUGCGAUCGACGUGUUCGAUCGAUCGACGUAGGGCUCCCCGCUCGGCCCCAGAGUCACCUCUGCGCUCUACGCGGUUUCCAUCAUGAGUUCAAAGCAGGAUGCGGCACGCUAGCGAGUUCAGAUCGUAGACUCGUAUCUGCGCCGAUGUCGAACGCAAUGUUUCCGCUCCACCCCCCCCAGCCCCCGCAACCCAGGAUGGGCGCCGGGCUUUCGCCAUCCCCGUCCACACGGGUACAUCUGUCACGCACACUUCUUCCUAGCUGUUAACCAACACUGAUAGCGCAUCAGAGCGUACAUCUGUAUCUCUGUAUCUGCAUAACGUGGUGUUACAACAUCCUGCUUGCAACAUAACUCUCAAUAACCACAGGCAGCAAGAAACAGACAUGACUCAUUUCGGCGGAAGGGAGGCGCACAAGUAAUAUUUACACAAACGCGUCGCGUUUCUGUCUUUUUCCAUCUGGAGCCGGUGCUCCAUCGCGUCGCGUCGUCUGCAGUCGGAAGAAAACCGCGAGUGUGUUCGCGUUGCGCUCGCCUUCGUCCCGUGCGCGGGAGGGGGGUCGUCCUGAGGUUCGAAGAGCAAAACCGUGAGCGCACACAGUGCUGCUUGAAAGUAUGUGAACCCCCCUGCGUUCCUUAGUUUUACCACGGAAUGGGUUUUUAAUGAGGAUCGGUGUUUCUCGUGCGGCAUAAUAGCCGUGCGUAAGAGACGAGGCAGGAGACAAGAGGUGCCAUUGCCCGUUGAUGGAGGCUUUUAUUUGCCCUUAGAGUGGGGAGAAGGAAGGGGAUGGAAAAGGGGGAAAAGGGGGACCAGGGAACGGGUAG
ensembl:lncRNA